UGCUUUCUAAAUUAGCCAGCUGGGGUUACUUUAAAAAACAACUCCAAGAAGAGGCAUUUUCAAGUUAAAGGGACCUGUGUGGAAAUAAAAACGAAUGCCUAUACCCUCGUCAAUCUUGGCUAUUUUGAAAGGCUUCAGAAAAUAUUCACUGGGCAUUCAGUGAAUAUUUUUAAAAAUUAAAUCAAUCUGUUGUCCUGUCUACCCUGUCCACAGCCUGUGAAAUUGUGUAGAUUUUGUUUAUAUAAUCUCUCAGCCUUGGUCAUUGCUGUUAUAGAUUGAAGAGACCCUCAUCUUUUUAGUUUAUCCUCAUGGUAUUGUUUUACCUCAUGUUUUGUUAUCCUGUAGAUUGUUUCUGGCUUAUUAGCAGCUCUAACGUCAUGCAUUAUUCCGGCUAAAGAUUAUUAGUGUUAGUUUUUUCUUAUAGAAAGAUUUUGGACUUUUGUGGGAAGGAUGCCUUACAGAAUUAAACAGGAUGCCCUCAAGAGUAUGCUCAUUUCUAGCUUCU